rnacentral:lncRNA from 1 species
UAUUACCUGGUUUGAUUAUCUAAAACACAAAUAAAAGUUUUUGAAUACCUUAUGCCGUCUUUGUAUUAAAUCAGUUUUAAUUUGCAAUUCAUCCAGUGAGCGUAGCCCAGCUGGCUACAGUACUUCGACUCGAUUCUUCAAAGCAUCAAUAAAUGGAAUGGCAUUCAAUAUAUUGUUUUAUAUUUAGAAUUAAAAUUUUAUUUAAAUAAAGACAAAUU